rnacentral:rRNA from 1 species
AACGAACGCUGGCGGCAUGCCUAACACAUGCAAGUCGAACGAGACCUUCGGGUCUAGUGGCGCACGGGUGCAUAACGCGUGGGAAUCUGCCCUUGGGUUCGGAAUAACAGUUAGAAAUGACUGCUAAUACCGGAUGAUGACUUCGGUCCAAAGAUUUAUCGCCAGAGGAUGAGCCCGCGUAGGAUUAGCUAGUUGGUGUGGUAAAGGCGCACCAAGGCGACGAUCCUUAGCUGGUCUGAGAGGAUGAUCAGCCACACUGGGACUGAGACACGGCCCAGACUCCUACGGGAGGCAGCAGUGGGGGAUAUUGGACAAUGGGCGAAAGCCUGAUCCAGCAAUGCCGCGUGAGUGAUGAAGGCCUUAGGGUUGUAAAGCUCUUUUACCCGGGAUGAUAAUGACAGUACCGGGAGAAUAAGCUCCGGCUAACUCCGUGCCAGCCGCCGCCGUAA